AGAAAAAGAGAUUUUAGGAGAGCACUCGGGACACUUUUUGUAUACUAUUGGCCAGAAGGCGAGAAUUGGUGGUUUGGAUAAAAAAUAUUAUGUUUAUGCAAAGGACUCCGUUAAUAAUAUUGUUUACGUGGUGGACGGGAGUGAUACUUCACUAUUAUGGACGGACAGUCUUUCAACCGAGCGGUUUAAUUGGAUACAAGGCGCUCCGCCAGAAUAUUUAUACAUAAAAAAAAACACCCCAACAUUCAAUUGUUUGGCAGUUACCCGCUUUCGCGCCGAACCAGUUCCGUGCACAGUCGCUAUUGGUGAAGAUCCUUCAAAGUGUAACGUGACUUUUCAUAGAAAAGUGCAAGCUGUUGCGUCGGGUCAGCAGGUGGUUUUGUAUGAUAAGGAUACGUGCCUCGGUGGCGGCCCCGUCACAAUGAAAUCUCUA